CUCAGAAUGAACGCUGGCGGCAUGGAUUAGGCAUGCAAGUCGCACGAGAAUCCCGCCUUCGGGCGGGAGGACAGUGGCGAACGGGUGAGUAACACGUGAGCAUCUGCCUCCGGGUCGGGGACAGCCCGCGGAAACGCGGAUUAAUACCCGACGGUCCCUUCGGGGCAAAGAGGAAUCGCCCGGAGAUGAGCUCGCGGCCCAUCAGCUUGUUGGCGGGGUAACGGCCCACCAAGGCGACGACGGGUAGGUGGUCUGAGAGGAUGGUCACCCACACUGGGACUGAGACACUGCCCAGACUCCUACGGGAGGCUGCAGUCGAGAAUCAUCCGCAAUGGGCGAAAGCCUGACGGUGCAAUGCCGCGUGGGGGAUGAAGGCCUUCGGGUCGUAAACCCCUGUCAGAAGGGACGAAGCAAGUGACGGUACCUCCAGAGGAAGCCACGGCUAACUACGUGCCAGCAGCCGCGGUAACACGUAGGUGGCGAGCGUUAUUCGGAUUUACUGGGCGUAAAGGGUCCGCAGGGGGUUUGCCAAGUCCGGUGUGAAAGUCCAGGGCUCAACCCUGGAACUGCGCCGGAUACUGGUGAACUGGAGUGCGCGAAGGGCAGGCGGAAUUCCUGGUGUAGCGGUGGAAUGCGUGGAUAUCAGGAAGAACACCGACGGCGAAAGCAGCCUGCUGGCGCGCCACUGACCCUCAUGGACGAAAGCGUGGGUAGCGAACAGGAUUAGAUACCCUGGUAGUCCACGCCGUAAACGGUGCAGACCCCGAUGCGGGGGGCAGCCUCCUCCGUGUCCAAGCCAACGCGUUAAGUCUGCCGCCUGGGGACUACGGGCGCAAGGGUAAAACUCAAAGGAAUUGACGGGGGCCGGCACAAGCGGUGGAGCAUGUUGGUCAAUUCCGAGGCACGCCGAAGAACCUUACCCGGACUUGACAUCGAGCGACCGGGCGUGGAAACACGCCUUUCCCUUCGGGGACGCGAAGACAGGUGCUGCAUGGCUGUCGUCAGCUCGUGCCGUGAGGUGUUCGGUUAAGUCCGGCAACGAGCGCAACCCGUAUUGUCAGUUGCCAUCAGGGUAAAGCUGGGCACUCUGGCGAGACUGCCCGUGUCAAGCGGGAGGAAGGCGCGGAUGACGUCAAGUCCGUAUGGC
rnacentral:rRNA from 1 species